ACUCAAUCCCAACUGAAGCUCCACAUUGCGAAAAUUGCUCUGCAUUUCCUUGUACUCACAAUCUAUCAUAAACCUUUUUGCGUGUAGUGUAAAUUUAGCAUGGCAAAAUCAGCCUUCUCUAGGCCCAUGCCUGUCACGGUGAUGACACUUCUUGUUGCAACUUUGUUGCUCAUGUCUUCUGAGGUGGCAAAUGCUACGCUAAAUUACGAUGGAGCUGCAGCACUUACACUUGGACGAAGGGCUCUCCUAGCUGAAACCACCGGUCGAGGAGGCUACAACGAGAAUCCUAAUGGUCGAGGAGGCUACAACGAGAAUCCUAAUGGCCGUGGAGGCUAUAAUGAGGAUCCAACUGGUCGUGGAGGAUAUAAUUAACUAGUAAAUGAUAAUUUCAAAGGUCUAUCUACUGUAACAAUAUAUAAGUUUGGUGCUUGAAUAAAAGAUGCCCUCCAGCCAAGGAUAUGUUGUAAUAAUUUCCAAGGACAUGAUUUACAUAUCAAGGUUGUAGGAUGGAAUGUUUUUAUUAUAUAUUUGAAGUCUGUACGUGUCAUAUAAAGUGAGAUUAAUUUUCUUAAGUCACAAACUUUAUUUAUUGGCA